GUGCACGCACCCUGGGGAUUCAGUGGAAGAGGAGCAAUCUGAAUCCAGCAGUGCUGAGAAAACCCAAGAGCUACAUGGCCAGCAUUUCCCAUCAGAGAGCCAACAGGGCCCCUGGUUUUGCCUUCCCGCCCACCAGCCCUGGUUAAUGGAGCUUUUGUUCUGCCUGAUGCUGCCUUGCUAAUCAGGGUGUAUCAUAUGGGAGCUAUCAGGAGAGCGGGGCCUGCUUCACAAAGGAACACAGGUUGCCUUUAGAGUUGGCUACAAAACUUAGAGCUUGGUGAUGGCUCAGGCACAAAAGAGCUGGCUGUACUUGAGGCUGACUUCCAUUCUACCUGUGACUAUUACAUUCAAGGUAGUGAACGCUUGAAGCCUCUGGCAUCCUGAUCCCAUGAUUACUGCAGAGAAAAGAGGUAAAUCAAGAACUGCUUGGGGAACAGCAUCAUCAUCGGUUCUGGCAUGUGCAUCUAAGCAAGGCGUGCCUCUCAGGAAGGAUUUCACUCUUUGUUGUAACUGUAUCAUACCUUUUACAAAAAGUCACUUUGAGGUCACUUUUUUUUUGUCCAGUAUUUCAAUACAUUAAAUGCAAUUACUUCAUUGUUGAUUUACCUGUCAUUACAGGCAUGUGUUUGAACAUGAUUUAUUGAGUGAGUUUUGUGCCAGUUGACUUGCAAUAGAUUGCACAAUAUUCAAAGGGGCUCAUUUGCUUGGCAUUACAUUAGAGGCA
rnacentral:lncRNA from 1 species